rnacentral:rRNA from 1 species
CACUGGAACUGAGACCGGUCCAGACUCCUACGGGAGGCAGCAGUAGGGAAUAUUGCUCAAUGGGGGAAACCCUGAAGCAGCAACGCCGCGUGGAGGAUGAAGGUUUUAGGAUUGUAAACUCCUUUUGUUAGAGAAGAUAAUGACGGUAUCUAACGAAUAAGCACCGGCUAACUCCGUGCCAGCAGCCGCGGUAAUACGGAGGGUGCAAGCGUUACUCGGAAUCACUGGGCGUAAAGAGCGCGUAGGCGGGAUAGUCAGUCAGGUGUGACAAUCCUAUGGCUUAACCAUAGAACUGCAUUUGAAAAGUACUAUUUCUAGAGGUGUGGGGGAAGGAG